AUGCCGCCCAAUCCGACGGAGCCGGAGCAGCCGGAGGCGGCCGCCACGCCGGCGCCGCCCAAGAAGAAGAGGAACCUCCCCGGGACGCCAGAUCCGGACGCGGAGGUGAUCGCGCUGUCGCCGGGGACGCUCAUGGCGACCAACCGGUUCGUGUGCGAGGUGUGCGGCAAGGGCUUCCAGAGGGACCAGAACCUGCAGCUCCACCGCCGGGGGCACAACCUUCCGUGGCGGCUGCGGCAGCGCGGCCCCGGGGCGGCGCCGCCGCGCCGUAGGGUCUACGUCUGCCCGGAGCCCGGCUGCGUGCACCACUCCCCCGCCCGCGCGCUCGGGGACCUCACGGGCAUCAAGAAGCACUUCUGCCGCAAGCACGGCGAGAAGCGAUGGGCCUGCCCACGCUGCGGCAAGCGCUACGCCGUCCAGGCCGACCUCAAGGCCCAUGCCAAGACCUGCGGCACCCGCGAGUAUCGCUGUGACUGCGGCACACUCUUCACCAGGAGGGAUAGUUUCGUGACACAUCGCGCUUUCUGUGGCGCUCUCGUCGAGGAGACCGGCAGAGUGCUUGCUGUUCCGGCGCCGCCUUCGCCUCGGCCACCUGAUUUGCAGGAGGUUGAGGAGAAUGUGGACAAGGACAAGGAGAAAGAAGAGGAGAAUGUGGAUAAGCACAAGGAAAAGGAGGAUGAGGAGGACAAGGGGGGAGAAGAUGAAAAUGAGACUUCUGCCGUGGCCGAGGUGGAUGAGCCGCAGAACGUUGAGGCAGCAAUGGAGGAGCCACAGCAGCAGCGGAUUCCGCCGUCGCCAUCUCCAACGCCGACAUCUCCAACGCCACAGGAGCAGCAGCCAAUGGUGGCAGUUGUGCCAAAUUUGGAUGAGCCAGUGGUGGUUGUGGAGCCAAUUGUGGAUAUCAAGCAAGAGGAGGAAGAUAAGCGAGAUGAAGAUGUUUGCUUCCAGGAAGCUGAUAAGUACGACGGCGCUGAACUAGAAGACUCCAACUUGCCAGAUAAUGAUACCCCGAUGCCUCCUUGUUUCCUCCCCUCGCCCUCGGAUGCCAUUGGUACAGAUGGCAGCAGCACCAGUUGUGGCACAGUCAGCAGUGCAUCUAAUUCCAUUGCGCCAGCAACGACGACUAGCACAUUUGCGGGGCUGUUUGCAUCAGCCACAACAAGCACAACUCCCCAGAGUAGAUCGCUGCGUGAUCUUAUCGGUGUUGAUCCCACCUUCCUUUGCCUUGCAAUAGGUACACCAUCCUCUCUGUUCCCGCAGACAGAUGCAAGCAACCCCGGCACCUUUGCUCCACCACCAGCACCGCACAUAUCUGCCACUGCACUCCUGCAGAAGGCUGCUGAGGCUGGAGCUUCGCAAGCAGGCACAUCUUUCUUGAAGGAGUUUGGUCUUGCAAGUUCCUCCUCAUCAACUCCAUCCAGGCCACCUCAAGGAAGGUUCAUCGAGAGCAGCUCAAUGCAAUCCCAGCAACCCCAAGGAAGGUUCAUCGAGAGCAGCUCAACGCAAUCCCGGUUACCUCAAGACAGGUUCAUCGACAGCAGCUCAACACAAUCCCAGUUACCUAAAGACAGGUUCAUCGACAGCAUCUCAACACAAUCCCGGUUACCUCAUGACAGGUUCAUCGAGAGCAGCUCAACACAAUCCCGGUUACCUCAAGACAGGUUCAUCGAGAGCAGCUCAACACAAUUUCGAUUACCUCAAGAUAGGUACAUCAAUAACUCGAUGCCAUCCAAGCUAUCUCAAGGGAGAUUCAUGGAUACCUCACUGCCAUCCCAGCAGCUGCUACCUCAAGGAAGGUUCUUUGACAACUCGCCAGCAUCAAAUCUGUCUCAAGGAAGGUUCUUUGAUAACUCGCAACCAUCCAAUCCACCUCAAGGAAGGUUCUUCAUCAACUCGCCAUCAUCCAAUCUUCCUCAUGGAAGGUUCACUGAUUAUUCGUCACCAGGAAGGUUGCCUCAAGGAAUGUACAUCGAUGGCUUGCCACAAUCCAGGCUACCACAAGGAAGGUACAUGGACAACUCACCACCGGCCAAGCUACCACCACAGGGGGGAAGGUUCGUUGAUAGCAAUCAACAGCAGUGGCACCAAAGGAGCAAUAAUCAUAACCAGCUAAUGGAUAUGGAGCCUGGGCCGAUGGUAUCUGGUAGCCUUGGCCUUGGUCUCGCCUAUGAAGGUUCAAAUCCAAGGUUGCCAGAUUUGAUGAUGGGGCAAUCACCACUGUUGGGUCCCAAGCCUGCCACUCUGGACUUCCUUGGGCUUGGCAUCGGAGGGACCAUGGGCGGCUCCACGGCCAGCGGUGGCCUACCGGCAUUGAUGGUGGGAGGAGAGCUGGACAUGGGGUCUGCCGCACAGCCGCCCUCUCCAUGGGAGGAGGCACAGAGAAAGACCAACGGCCGCACGAUCCUGUGA
rnacentral:rRNA from 1 species